ACCCUCUCGGUAUCACACGAGGAGAGUUUCCACGACUCUGCCAGCCUCGGCUACGGGAGGGAGAGCCAGGCAGAGGCUCGCCCAUUCCAUUCCUAGCCUGGCCAGUGGCUAGCGAGUGGAAGGCCAUCUGCUACAAAU